rnacentral:rRNA from 1 species
AAGACCUUGCGCUUUUGGAGCGGCCGAUGUCUGAUUAGCUAGUUGGUAGGGUAAUGGCCUACCAAAGCUUCGAUCAGUAGCUGGUCUGAGAGGACGACCAGCCACACUGGGACUGAGACACGGCCCAGACUCCUACGGGAGGCAGCAGUGGGGAAUUUUGGACAAUGGGCGCAAGCCUGAUCCAGCCAUGCCGCGUGAGUGAAGAAGGCCUUCGGGUUGUAAAGCUCUUUCAGCCGGGAAGAAAAGGCUACGACGAAUAAUCGCAGCUCAUGACGGUACCGGAAGAAGAAGCACCGGCUAACUACGUGCCAGCAGCCGCGGUAAUACGUAGGGUGCGAGCGUUAAUCGGAAUUACUGGGCGUAAAGGGUGCGCAGGCGGUUUUGUAAGUCAGAUGUGAAAUCCCCGGGCUUAACCUGGGAACU